CAAGGAAGCGAAAGGCUGAGUAACACGUAGGUAACCUGCCUUUAGGUGGGGCAUACCCUCGGGAAACUGAGGUUAAUUCCCCAUAGACUUUAGAUACUGGAAUGUUCCUAAGUUAAAAGUUUCGGCGCCUAAAGAUGGACCUGCGACCUAUCAGGUUGUUGGUAGUGUAAUGGACUACCAAGCCUUCGACGAGUAGGGGCAGUGAGAGCUGGAGCCCCCAGAUGGGAACUGAGAUACGGUCCCAAGCCCUACGGGGUGCAGCAGGCGCGAAACCUCCGCAAUGCACGCAAGUGUGACGGGGGAAUUCCAAGUGAUUCUGUUUUACAGUUUCUUUUCUGAGGUGUAAAUAGCUUCAGGAAUAAGAGCUGGGAAAGACAGGUGCCAGCAGCCGCGGUAAUACCUGCAGCUCGAGUGGUCUGGAUUAUUAUUGGGUCUAAAGCGUUCGUAGCAGGACGCAUAAGUUUUCUGUGAAAUCUGAUAGCUUAACUAUCAGGCGUGCAGAGGAUACUGUGUGUCUUGGGACUGGGAUGGACCGAGGGUACUCCAGGGGUAAGGGUGAAAUCUAAUAAUCCUUGGGGGACCAUCUGUGGCGAAGGCGCUCGGUUAGAACAGAUCCGACUGUGAGGGACGAAAGCUAGGGGAG
rnacentral:rRNA from 1 species